rnacentral:rRNA from 1 species
UACGGAGGGUGCAAGCGUUAAUCGGAAUUACUGGGCGUAAAGCGCACGCAGGCGGUUUGUUAAGUUAGAUGUGAAAUCCCCGGGCUUAACCUGGAACUGCAUUUAAGACUGGCAGGCUAGAGUCUUGUAGAGGGGGGUAGAGUUCCAUGUGUAGCGGUGAAAUGCGUAGAGAUGUGGAGGAAUACCGGUGGCGAAGGCGGCCCUCUGGACAAAGACUGACGCUCAGGUGCGAAAGUGUGGGGAGCAAACA